rnacentral:rRNA from 1 species
GACGAACGCUGGCGGCGUGCCUAAUACAUGCAAGUCGAACGCACUCUCGUUUAGAUUGAAGGAGCUUGCUCCUGAUUGAUAAACAUUUGAGUGAGUGGCGGACGGGUGAGUAACACGUGGGUAACCUGCCCUAAAGUGGGGGAUAACAUUUGGAAACAGAUGCUAAUACCGCAUAAAACCUAAACACCGCAUGGUGUAGGGUUGAAAGAUGGUUUCGGCUAUCACUUUAGGAUGGACCCGCGGUGCAUUAGUUAGUUGGUGAGGUAAAGGCUCACCAAGACCGUGAUGCAUAGCCGACCUGAGAGGGUAAUCGGCCACACUGGGACUGAGACACGGCCCAGACUCCUACGGGAGGCAGCAGUAGGGAAUCUUCCACAAUGGACGAAAGUCUGAUGGAGCAACGCCGCGUGAGUGAAGAAGGUUUUCGGAUCGUAAAACUACUGUUGUUGGUAGAGAAUGUAUCUGAUAGUAACUGAUCAGGUAGUGACGGUA